UACGGAAGGUCCGGGCGUUAUCCGGAUUUAUUGGGUUUAAAGGGAGCGUAGGCCGGAGAUUAAGCGUGUUGUGAAAUGUAGAUGCUCAACAUCUGAACUGCAGCGCGAACUGGUUUCCUUGAGUACGCACAAAGUGGGCGGAAUUCGUGGUGUAGCGGUGAAAUGCUUAGAUAUCACGAAGAACUCCGAUUGCGAAGGCAGCUCACUGGAGCGCAACUGACGCUGAAGCUCGAAAGUGCGGGUAUCGAACAGGAUUAGAUACCCUGGUAUGACU
rnacentral:rRNA from 1 species